rnacentral:rRNA from 1 species
GAUGAACGCUGGCGGCGUGCCUAAUACAUGCAAGUCGAGCGAACGGACGAGAAGCUUGCUGCUCUGAUGUUAGCGGCGGACGGGUGAGUAACACGUGGAUAACCUACCUAUAAGACUGGGAUAACUUCGGGAAACCGGAGCUAAUACCGGAUAAUAUUUUGAACCGCAUGGUUCAAAAGUAAAAGACGGUCUUGCUGUCACUUAUAGAUGGAUACGCGCUGCAUUAGCUAGUUGGUAAGGUAACGGCCUACCAAGGCAACUAUGCAUAGCCGACCUGUGAGAGUGAUCGGCCACACUGGAGCGGGGACACGCUCCAGGCUCCUACGGGAGGCACCAGUAUGGAAUCGUACGCAAUGGGCGAAAGCCUUGCGGAGCAGCGGCGCGUGAGUGAUGACAACCUUCGGAGCGUAAAACCCUGUUAUUAGGGAAAAACAGAUGUGUAAGUAACUGUGCACAGCUUGACGGUAACUAAUCAGAAAGCCACGGCUAACUACGUG